CUUGCAAAUAUGAAGACGGGUGGAGCUUGACUGAGGCCCAGCCGUUGAAGGCUGAAAGUGUCUGAGCUUCCAGCAGCAUCAAGGCAGCCUGAGCAAAACAGUGUAAAUGAGGCCGCUAGUUAAGACAAAUGUAGGGAGUCAAAUGCCAUAAGGGCAAAAAGUUCAGUCUUUGCUUAUGAGAGGCAUUGGUGGGUUACUCCCACCACAGAGUAACGUCACCUCAUUUUUUCAAAUGUGCCGUCUCUGGGCAGAUCUAGAAGUUGCCAUAAAUCAUAAAAUCAUCUCCACCACCUGGAAGCUAUCCCAAUUAGGCAGAAAAGCCAUCUUUGAUACCGUUUGGCUGUAUAAAAGAAGAGCUUCAAGGCCUGAGUUCGUGCUUUUAGAGAGGCUUUGCAAACUCCGUGUGAAGGCUAGGGAGACUGCCAUGAACACAAUUUUAGAUUGUUUCCUUCUUCCUUCGCGCUUUCAGGAAAAGCUUGCCGCCAGAUUUGUUUAAAAGGAUUCCACCCCACGUGAGGGAUUUCUCGGCAUGAAGAACCUUUCCUUUCACAUUACAUGAAGAGCGUGUGCACCACAUUUCUUCAAAUGCAUUGGAAAAUAUGACUAUGACACGGAAAACUGUGUUUACUGCUCAGCAAACACGUGUGCCCCAAUACUCAGCAGGGAACUCAGAGGCACUUUAUUACGUCAAUUGCCUGCAGCUGGAGUCUCUAUUUCCAGGCAAACGAGAAGGCGGAGACACAGGGCAGGACCUCAGGCAGCAUUCUGUUGACUGCGAAUGGUGAUUUGCGAUCAGUAAUAAAAAUUAUCUCACCCCACUCCACAGAGCUGCAUGCAGGGCGGUGUUCUCUUUCUAUUCACCUAGCUAAUGAAAUGCGCUGAGAUCCAGAGAAAUCACUGGCCAUCUCACAGCCAUGCAGACACAUCCUCCCUUUCCUGCUCUUCACCUGAAAUCAUUACUGGGCGUUUGAGGUCAAACAAAAGAUUUGACGCAAAACACUGAGAAAUGUGGUUCCCCCGGGAUUUUUCAGACUCAGUGUUUUGAAAUUCAUUUUACUCCUCCACAAAAAGAUUGUGAGGCAAAUGGCAAAUGGGAGGCAAAUCUGAGGCAAAAGUGGUGAGACACACUUCCAUUUAUUAAAUCUGGUAUGGACAGAGAAGCGUUAACAUUUUUAUUUAGGAAUUUCUGCCUUCUCCUCUCACCUUUUUCCAGGAGAAGGCUUAGCCCUGCACAUAAGUAACCAGGUCAUGUUUCCCUUUGUCUAUGUACACCAAAAAUGAGCUUUCAGAUUAUCAAAGAUUUCAAAGUACAAGAUUUUACACGCUUUAUUUUUUGGACAGAAGUGGUAGGAAGAUAGAGGGCUUGUCAGAUGCAACU
rnacentral:lncRNA from 1 species